AAGUAGGAAAACCUGCAAAAUCGGCAGUGUAUCAAAUACUUGUUCUCCCCACUGUAUAUGUUGCAAUGUUUUACAAUCUACAAUGUUGCAUAGUGCCUUGAGAACAAGUGCAUUAUGAAUACAAUGUAUUAUUGUUAUGAUCAGUGUUGCAAUGAUCUAUAAACAAAUAGAACACAGUGAGAUUUGUAUAUCUUUUUUGUUCUCCUGCUCCAGCUCGCUUUAAAUCCCGACUCAUUUCACCCUGUGAUGCUGCAACAGACUGUGAGGUAGCCAGUUUCUCCUUCAGUCAGUUAAUCCAAGUUACCAUUAUGUAGACCAGCGGCAGCUGUCCAGUCACCAGCAGGAGUUCAAUUGACCUGGAAUGCAAAGCAAUGCAGUAACCUGUUUUGGACCAAAAAAACUACAUUCUACUGCCUUUUAGUACAUGUCUGUCAAAAAUGAUUGUCAUAGUGCUGUAUAAUUUGUGACUGAUGUCCACCUGAAUAUGAUGGCUGUUUCCUCCUGGUCUGUUUGAAUCUCUUUCUGUACAUUUUCUUGCUACAUUGUUUAUAACACAUUUACACACAUAUUUUUUGGGACUCAGUAUUCUAUCGUGCUUGUCAGUUAUACAACAAGACUAGAGACUUUCUUCUCCAUAUCGUCAUUUUUUCUUAAACUUUUAUCGCAUGUUUCUUUUUCUUUCUUUUGUCUGUAUACUGUCAUUCAGCUUUUAGCUGCAGAGUUGUACAAGACAGCCUAACUAAUAAAAUAUAUGCCCUGGCGGAUAUUCA